rnacentral:ncRNA from 1 species
UGCUCAAGGCAAAUGGUAUAGUCCCUUAUAUGACAUACACAAUCACUCAAUAAGGCCAGUGGCGAGCACACUCAAAAGUAUAUGUGCCAAGUGACCAGGAAACUCUGGUGGAGGCUCGAAGCGAUACUGACGUGCAAAUCGUUCGUCUGACUUGGGUAUAGGGGCGAAAGACUAAUCGAACCAUCUAGUAGCUGGUUCCCUCCAAAGUUUCCCUCAGGAUAGCUGGAGCCCAUUACGAGUUCUAUCAGGUAAAGCCAAUGAUUAGAGGCAUUGGGGACGCAACGUCCUCGACCUA